rnacentral:rRNA from 1 species
AGCUUCACGAAGUCGGGUUGCAGACUUCGAUCCGAACUGAGAGAGGCUUUUGGGAUUAGCAUCCUGUCACCAGGUAGCUGCCUUCUGUACCCCCCAUUGUAACACGUGUGUAGCCCCGGACGUAAGGGCCGUGCUGAUUUGACGUCAUCCCCACCUUCCUCACAUCUUACGACGGCAGUCUCUCUAGAGUCCUCAGCAUGACCUGUUAGUAACUAAAGAUAAGGGUUGCGCUCGUUAUGGCACUUAAGCCGACACCUCACGGCACGAGCUGACGACAACCAUGCAGCACCUUCACAUUUGCCUUACGGCUAUACUGUUUCCAAUAUAUUCAAAUGCAAUUUAAGCCCGGGUAAGGUUCCUCGCGUAUCAUCGAAUUAAACCACAUGUUCCUCCGCUUGUGCGGGCCCCCGUCAAUUCCUUUGAGUUUCACCGUUGCCGGCGUACUCCCCAGGUGGAAUACUUAAUGCUUUCGCUUGGCCGCUUACUGUAUAUCGCAAACAGCGAGUAUUCAUCGUUUACUGUGUGGACUACCAGGGUAUCUAAUCCUGUUUGAUACCCACACUUUCGAGCAUCAGUGUCAGUUGCAGUCCAGUGAGCUGCCUUCGCAAUCGGAGUUCUUCGUGAUAUCUAAGCAUUUCACCGCUACACCACGAAUUCCGCCCACCUCUACUGUACUCAAGACAGCCAGUAUCAACUGCAAUUUUACGGUUGAGCCGCAAACUUUCACAACUGACUUAACUGUCCACCUACGCUCCCUUUAAACCCAAUAAAUCCGGAUAACGCUCGGAUCCUCCGUAUUACCGCGGCUGCUGGCACGGAGUUAGCCGAUCCUUAUUCAUAUGGUACAUACAAAAUUCCACACGUGGAAAACUUUAUUCCCAUAUAAAAGAAGUUUACAACCCAUAGGGCAGUCAUCCUUCACGCUACUUGGCUGGUUCAGGCCUGCGCCCAUUGACCAAUAUUCCUCACUGCUGCCUCCCGUAGGAGUUUGGACCGUGUCUCAGUUCCAAUGUGGGGGACCUUCCUCUCAGAACCCCUAUCCAUCGAAGGUUUGGUGAGCCGUUACCUCACCAACUGCCUAAUGGAACGCAUCCC